CAGAGCAAUUCACAGAACAGAGGACAGCACCACACUUAGGUAACAAGAGAUUGCAAAGGCAAGAGAUAGGCAAAGGAUACUGGAGAUGAAGGCUAUUGUUGCCACCACGGAGAG
rnacentral:lncRNA from 1 species